rnacentral:lncRNA from 10 species
ACUUUAACAAAUCUUGCAGCCGCACACUCUUUGGGUCCGCCCGUUUCUCUAAUCAAGUUGUAACACUCGCUGCUGUGGUCCACAGCUUCAUUCCUUGAAGCCCGUGAGACACGAACGCUUCCAUUGAGAAAAACCUUCCAUCAGAAGAAGACUUCUCGUCUCAGUGGGACUGCUGAGUUGAAUGGCCCUAUACAUCAAAAGGUGAAGCUGGGUCAUGAAGGUCAUGAAGGCCCUCAGUGUGCAGCCUCUGUAAACCUGCUAAAACUAUUCUAUGAAAAUGAACAGGACUAUUCUUCCUCAAACAAAGAGAUCGUGUGAUGAAGACUCACCAGAGCUGUUCUCUAUAAGCUUGAAGAGCAAUGGUAUCAGGGAGGGCCCCAUGAUGACAUCUCUGGGCUGGGGAGGCAAAACAUAUGAAUAUACUGGACCAAUCAAAUGAUAGGCUUCAUACAACUUGGACAACAUAGAUAUUUCAGAGUUCAGCUCACACAUCACUGCACCCAUGUUGAGGAAGGCAUAUAGAAGGAAUGUCUAACACAUUUUAUUAAUUGGGUGGAAAGAACUUAGAGGCCGAGGAUAUCCAGGAUGCACAUGUUGCCAGCAGCUACUAUCAAAGUUUAAGUGAAUUGCCUUUUCAUUUAUUAUCUUGUUUCUCAAGUGGGAUAUAAGUGUCAUGGGGAGGAUCUGAAAAUGGACUCCAUAGAAAGAGACUCUGAGAUGAAAGACACAAAACUGAGAACAUGCUUGAUGAAGAAACACUUGAUGAAGUCUUUCAAAAGUCAGGAACAAGAAAUAGACACAAUGAACACUAGUAACAAACAUCAGACAGCAGGUGCUUUUUUUUCUGAAGCUUUGGUAGUGUAACUGUAAGAGUCCUGGAAUUGGAAAAGCAAAUCCAGAAGUUGAGUUCCAUGACUUUUUUGCUGUUUGCCUUUGGACUUGCAUCAUUUAUAUUUUUAAUUCAUCGAGGAUGAGAAAAUUGAUUAACACAAAAUCUUUUCAUGUCUUUUCUGAUGAGAGACUAGCUGAAUCCAAGAAGAGAAGCCCUUGAAGAGUGUAUUCUAUUCUAGACAAGCAUUCACACAUUGGCUUCUUUGGUGCCAGCAUGUUUCUGAUCAGCAUGAAAACUGCGCAGGAGCUUUUCUGUCUUGCAGAGCUAGUUAAUGAGAUUGUUGCUGCCUUCAGAUUCUAUAAAGGACUUCUCCAAUAUUGGAUUAAAGAAUGAAGAAAGGAUCAAAUUGAGACAUCCAGGGGGGAAGAGUUCCCUGGCAAAACUCCAAUCUGCCUGAGCACUGAGGUGGAGCCACAGAAGUCCGGGUCAUUUGCACCUGGGAGGAGCCUGGCCCCUCCUCUUCCUGUGUGGAAUCUGGGAUUUAAUCUGUGAGGAGGGAAGGCCAAGGGCAGGAAGCACAGGCUCUCACUUCACUAAGAGUCUCUGUUUCCCCUUUUUUUCCUUUAUGCCUAAUUAAUAAAUCCCAUUUUUCUCACUCUUCAAAUAGUCUUCAAGCCUAAAUUUUCAUGACCAUGGAACAAGGACCCCAUCUUUAGCUGAACUAAGGAAAAGUCCUGCAACAAAAUUCUUUGCUAAAAAUACAUGAGGUUGCCUUUUCCUUCUUAAUCUUAAAAGAAAUAUAUUUCAAUGGUUAACGUUUUAGUAAUUCAAAAAUUAUCAAGCAUUUGUUCACAACCAUAAGAUGUGCAUUGUUUUAUAUUCCUACUUAAUAAUAGACUAUAAUUGUCUAAUUAGACUGCCGAUGUUGAUCUUUGUGGCUCAUUGCAUUGAUUAUAAGCAGUGUUUUGGGUUUGUGUGUGUGUGUCAAAUUUAGGGUUUUUUUGGUAUGGCUGCUGGUUGGUGUAGCCUGUAUCCAGUAUCCUGUAUUAAUUCUAAUAUUUGCAUUUUGAACAUAUUUACAAGUUGCUAAAAUAGCAAAGCUUCGAGAUGAGCCUGGCUGAUAUGGCAAAACCCCGUCUCUACUAAAAAUACAAAAAUUAGCCUGGUGUGGUGGUGCAUGCCUGUAAUCCCAGCUACUUGGAAGUCUGAGGCAGGAGAAUCUCUUGAACCCAGAAGGUGGAGGUUGCAGUGGGCCAAGAUCGCACCACUGCACUCCAGCCUCGGUGAUAGAGCGAGACUACGUCUC